UCGCUCAAUGAUUUUUUAAAUUGCUGUGGUAUUUUAACUAUACAAAGGUAUUGUAAUAAGAUUUUAAUUGAAUGCUAAAAGAAUGGAAGUUUAAGAAAAAACUUUUUUAAAAAUAAAAAUUAAAUUUUUUUUAAUUUGUGCAAAACCAAUUAUUUAUAUUAAAGACAAGAAGACCCUAUGAAUUUAUGAUUAAAUAAACUAAAAAUUUUUAGUUUAUUUAAUCUUGAUUGGGGCAACAAAAAAUAUUAAUAACUUUUUUAAAUUUAAAUGAU
rnacentral:rRNA from 1 species